AGGGGAGUGCUGGAUCCUGGGCUGUGUCCCCCGGAGCCCUGGGCUCCGGGCCUGUGCUACUGGAAUCAUGUGCCCAGGGCCGCACAGGCCCCC
rnacentral:pre_miRNA from 1 species